rnacentral:snRNA from 1 species
AUACUUUCCAGCCGUUGGCUAAGAUCAAAAGCAUCAUCUUUUCUUAUCACUUUAAUAUCUGAUACAUCCUCAGUUUGAAGAUUUUAAUUUAAACAGAUUUGGAGGGUACAGGAAGGAGUAACUGCUU